GCUGAGACUCGAGUCCCAUCCUGACACAGCCCUUGUCCUGGAGUUCUAGAGUCUUCUGGCUUGACCCCUGGCAGAGACAGUAGACGCUUCCAUGGUGUUCAGGUCAAAAACAUAA
rnacentral:snoRNA from 1 species